AUUGAACGCUGGCGGCAUGCUUUACACAUGCAAGUCGAACGGUAACAGGUUAAGCUGACGAGUGGCGAACGGGUGGGUAAUGCAUCGGAACGUGCCCGAUCGUGGGGGAUAACGCAGCGAAAGCUGCGCUAAUACCGCAUACGAUCUGAGGAUGAAAACGGGGGACCGUAAGGCCUCGCGCGAUCGGAGCGGCCGAUGUCAGAUUAGGUAGUUGGUGGGGUAAAGGCCCACCAAGCCGACGAUCUGUAGCUGGUCUGAGAGGACGACCAGCCACACUGGGACUGAGACACGGCCCAGACUCCUACGGGAGGCAGCAAUGGGGAAUUUUGGACAAUGGGCGAAAGCCUGAUCCAGCAAUGCCGCGUGCAGGAAGAAGGCCUUCGGGUUGUAAACUGCUUUUGUACGGAGCGAAAAGGUCCUUUCCAAUACAAGGGGCUCAUGACGGUACCGUAAGAAUAAGCACCGGCUAACUACGUGCCAGCCGCCGCCGUAA
rnacentral:rRNA from 1 species